rnacentral:rRNA from 1 species
GGUCAAGCAUAAAAGUGCAUCUGGUGGAUGCCUUGGCAGCUGAAGGCGAUGAAGGACGUUAUAGCCUGCGAUAAGCCUCGGGGAGUCGGCAAAUAGACUUUGAUCCGGGGAUUUCCGAAUGGGGAAACCCACCGCUCCGGCGGUAUCUGCACCUGAAUACAUAGGGUGUAGAAGCGAACUUGGGGAACUGAAAUAUCUAAGUACCCAAAGGAAAAGAAAUCAACAGAGAUUCCCUUAGUAGCGACGAGCGAAAGGGGACCAGCCCUUAAGUUUAUAUUUUGUUAGUGGAAGCACCUGGAAAGUUGCGCGAUAGAGGGUGAUAGUCCCGUACACGAAAGCAAGAUAUAGAUGAAAUCGAGUAGGACGGGGCACGUGAAACCUUGUCUGAACAUGGGGGGACCAUCCUCCAAGGCUAAAUACUCUCAGCUGACCGAUAGUGAACCAGUACCGUGAGGGAAAGGCGAAAAGAACCCCUGUGAGGGGAGUGAAAUAGAACCUGAAACCAGAUGCAUACAAGCAGUGGGAGCAUGUCUUCGGACGUGUGACUGCGUACCUUUUGUAUAAUGGGUCAGCGAGUUACUUUUUGUGGCAAGGUUAACCGUAUAGGGGAGCCGUAGGGAAACCGAGUCUUAAUAGGGCGUCUUAGUCGCAAGGAGUAGACCCGAAACCGGGCGAUCUAGCCAUGGGCAGGUUGAAGGUUGAGUAACAUCAACUGGAGGACCGAACCCACUAAUGUUGAAAAAUUAGGGGAUGACCUGUGGUUAGGAGUGAAAGGCUAAUCAAGCCCGGAGAUAGCUGGUUCUCCUCGAAAUCUAUUUAGGUAGAGCCUCUCGUAUUACCAUCGGGGGUAGAGCACUGUUUGGGCUAGGGGGUCAUCUAGACUUACCAACCCCAUGCAAACUCCGAAUACCGAUGAGUACAGCGAGGGAGACACACGGCGGGUGCUAACGUCCGUCGUGGAAAGGGAAACAACCCAGACCGCCAGCUAAGGUCCCUAAAUUACAGUUAAGUGGGAAACGAUGUGGGAAGGCCCAGACAGCCAGGAGGUUGGCUUAGAAGCAGCCAUCCUUUAAAGAAAGCGUAAUAGCUCACUGGUCGAGUCGGCCUGCGCAAAAUAGAGGCCACUAGUAAGACUUUUUUCACAACGAGAUUCCCUUAUACUGCAUGCAACCCAGUGGCGCUGACUAACUUUCUUUCUAACGACACGAUAAACACAGCCGCACAAACAAACCUAUGCUUCCAACUUUACGAGCAAACACCAUAGAAUGAGUUUCCCCACUUUACACAAGCGCCUAAUCCUUAUUACUGGUAUAGGGUUACUGAUGUUGCUCCUUAGUGGGAUCGGCGACGACAGCGAAG